CCUGGGAGGCAGAGGUUGCAGUGAGCUGAGAUCACGCCACUGACUCUAGCCUGGGCAACAGAGCAAGACUCCGUCUUAAAUAAAACUUCAAAGAAGAAAGUCUCCACCCCAUGAAGUUAGAGAGAGGUAUGUAGUCAAUCUUCUUACCUCAGCCAUAUCUUUACUAUCCUUUCCCCAUCCCAGUACCCACAAAUUACGCUAAUUCAUGCCCCGGAUUGGUAUAUAACUUUAAAAAAAAAAAACUGUCUUAAUGUAUUUUACAAAUAUUUGUUUGAUAUCUAUUAUGUUGAAUAAUAUUUGUCCAAUAUCUAUUUGUUGAAUAUUUGUUGAUAUCUAUUUGUUAUAUUUGUUGAAUAUCUAUUAUGAUUCAUUUCCUUAACCACUGUGUACAUUCAGCCAUGUAAAAACUCUACAUAGGAAGACAUAACAAGUAAAAUCUAUUAUAAAGCUAUAAACUGAGUGUCUUAUGGAAGGUCAGAGGAAGAACCAAGAGUCUCAAAGGAAGUGAGAGAUAUCCCUAGGAAAAAAAGAUGGUGAGAAUAUUCUAAAUUAUAAACUAGUACAUGUAAAGGUAGGAAGACCAAAGAAAAAGGGUGUAUACGAGCUGAGGGUAUAUGUAUUAGAUGGGCUUGGGUUUUAGGAUAUUAGGUGUGCACCAGCAUAACUGGGAAGUGGAGCUACAUGGAAGGAUGUGAUAGAAGAGGUAAGUACCUUCACUAAAGAUGCUGGUCUAAAAGAAGUCAGUAAGACCAGGCCAUGCAGCUCAAAAUGCUAGUGCCCUCAUCUAUGUACUUAAAGUGUCCUAUCAAGUACCAUCAGGAGACUACCUGAUAUGACCCUGAAAUAAGUCUAAUCACAAAAGGACAAUAGAAUCCACUAGUGUUCUGAAAUUGCAGUACUCUCCUUAACCUGUACUCUUCUACUCUCCACUCAGGAUCACAGUCAAAAGGUAUUCCCGGUGCAUCCGGAAUCCACAGAGCCAGUAGGACCACAGCCACUUCCUCAGUGUCUAAGGGCUGCUCUGUUUUUAAGCCAAACUCCAAAAAGAGAAAGAUCUCUGUGCCAAUGGAGGACUAUUUUAACAAAGGGAAAAAUGAGUCUAAGGACAGUAAGCUUCAAUUUGGAACUUAGUUGAUAUGGCAGCAAAUGAAAUCUGAAAAUGAGCCACUACAAGAAGAAUUAAAUAAAAACUUGUUUGACAAUCUAAUUGAAUUUCUGCAAAAAUCUCAUUCUGGAUUCCAGAAGAAUUCGAGACUUGGGCUGUCAAAUAAAACUCAGAGAAAUUCCAACUGCUGCUCUUGUUCUUGGUGUGAAUGUCACAGAUCAUGAUUUAACAUUCAGAAGUCUAACAGAGGCCCUUCAGAAUAAAGUCGCACCAUAUGUAGUCUCAUUGCAAACUAAAGACUGUCCAGAUAUGAAACAUUUUUUUUGCAAAAGUUGAUCUCACAAUUGUUGAACUGCUGUGUAGAUAUAAAAUCCAAAGAGGGGGAAAGUGUUCAGCUCACCCAGAGAAAGAUACAUUAUUCAAUGAAUUCACUUUCCAGUUGGUAUAUGACUGUCAGACAGAAGACAGACCCAAAAAUGCCAAGCAAAAAGAGGACUACUUCUAGCCAAUGGCAGUCUCCUCCUGUUGUGGUUAUCUGAAAGGAUAUGGAAAGCUUUGCCACAAAAGUACUGCAAGAAUUCAUAAUUAUCAACAGUCAACAUCUGCAUGAAUUUUCACUAAUAUUCAUUUUAUGAAUUGCCAUAUCUAUUAUCAUCAGCCGAUUGUUUCCUCAUGCAGUAUCAUCUCUAUUGUGCAUAGAACUGUUCCAAGUUUUGUCUUGCAAGGAGCACCUGACUAUGGUACUCAAUAAGCUACUUCUUACAACUCAGUUUCCCUUUAAAAUAAAUGAAAAAGCAUUGCAGGUUCUGACUAACAUCUUUUUGUAUCAUGAUUUCUAAAUUCAAAAUUUUAUAAAAGGACCAGCUUUCUCUAUUAGAGCAUUUCUAUUCCCAGCCCUUAAGUGUCCUGUGCUGUAAUCUUCCAGAAGCCAAAAGAAGAAUAAAUUUUUUAUCAAACAAUCAAUGGGAAAACAUCUGACAUCUUCCAUCUUUUAGGAGGUACGUAGAAAAGCAAGUUGCGCUCUUGACCAAUGAGAGAUGUUUGAAGGAGGAAACACAAUUAUUACUAGAAAACCUUCAUGUGUAUCAUAGGAAUUACUUUCCGGUUUUGAGAUGUCUUCAUAAGUUCACCUCUUCUCUUCCAAAGUAUCCACAAGGUUGACAGAUCAGAGAGUUGUACCGCACAUGUUUAGAAAAAAAAAAAUAUGGAAUUCAGAGGAGUAUGCAUCAGUCUUGUAGCUGCUGAAGAUGUUGGCAAACGAUGAACUGAUGACCAUACUUGAGGAAUGUUUCAAGGUUUUUAAAUCUUCUUGUGAAAAUCACCUUGGCAGCACAGCUAAGAGAAUAGAGAAGUUCCUGGCCCAGUUUCAGAGCUUCGAUGAAACCAAAGAGGAAGAAGAUGCUUCUGGGUCAGUCAAAGGGGCUUCAGAAGACAGACCUCUAUCAUCUUCAGAAGUCUUUACUGGAAAUGAAGGAGUCAAGCGGAAGUAAGAAGCAAACCAAAUUUGAAGUACUCAGAGAAAAUGUUGUGAACUUCAUGACUGUCUAGUGAGAGAACAGCUUCUGCUGCCUCCUGAGACACAGCCUCUCCAUGAGGUGGUCCGCUUCAGUGCUGCCCAUGCCCUUCGUGAGCAUUUAGAUGCUGCUCCAUGAAUUGCCCUCCAUACUGCACUCAACAAUCCUUACUAUUAUCUAAAGAAUGAAGCACUGAAAAGCAAAGAAGGGUGCAUUCCAAAUGUCGCCCCAGACAUUUCCAUAGCAUAUAAAUUGCACCUAGAGUGUUGCAGGCUAAUCAACCUUGUGGACUGUUCAUAGGCUUUUGCAACAGUUUUGACAGCUGCUGAAAAAAUGGAUGCAAAUUCUGCAGCCUCAGAAGAAAUGAAUGAAAUUAUCCAUGCUUGGUUUAUUAGAACUCUUUUUGAACUAGAACUUUUAGGAUUUAUAAAACCUACCAAAUAGAAGACUGACCUUGUGGCAAGGCUAACAUGGGGAGGCUGCUAGAAAGUGAAAGCAAAUGAGUGAAGUCAGAACUAUCACAUUUAGCUUAAGUGAAAAAGGUGACCAGUGAUAUUUACAUACACUAGAGGACUAGAGGAGCCUGUUUUGGUGAGAAGAUAAAUGUGUAAUCCUUAUGUGAUGUUUAUCCAGAAAAGUACAUUGCUAACCCCAAACAGGCAUAUAUCAAAACACCUGUAGAAUACUUUAGAGUCCAACAAAUAAUACAUAUAACUAAAACUGCUCACACAUUUUACUGUACUUUUCACAAAGUUAUUACAAAAUUGUGAGUAAAUCAUUCUUGAACUUAUAGUAUAAAAAUAUAAUAAAUUCCUUUAUCCAGGAGUA